ACGAUCUUUACCCACUGGCCAUGUGCUUCAUCAGUUCUAAUGCUCUGAGAGCACAUCCAUUGGAGUGGUCCUACUAGCUAGCACGGUGCACUGGACACAAUGGACCAACACUCUGACUCAGGGGAAAGGUACAGGACACCUCAACGUGACUCUGGUGUCACUGGCAGUGUCGAUCUGCUGUGUCAGCAAGUACCGUUUCAGCUCAGGUGACAACUACCUAUACUGUAUAAUCAUGAUCAGGUGAUAAUGCCUCUCAAUGUGUUGCCCCCCCCCCACGGGAGGUACGGGGAAUUUGACUCUAAUUUGACUCUUGAAGUGUUGUCCUCACACUGACUGGGGGAUUAGACCUGGCCUUGCAUAUAGCCUUGCCUGGGUGGCUUUGCUGCAUGUCGUCUUUGUGGUCAGAGCCAGUAAUGGACGCAAGCUAGCUCUGAAGAGACUGGCAGUGAACAAUGAUGCUGACGUCUACCUCACCAAACAAGAGAUUGCUGUCACCAAGGCUCUGUCUGAUUGCUCGUAUUCUGUGACAUACAUUUCAUCCAUUACUAAGCAGAUAUCCAGUGAUGUACACGAGGUCCUCAUACUAAUGGAGCUAUAUACAUGCAGCAGUGAAAUCUCUCUGAGUCCUCGAUCACCAAGAAUGCUGGUUUGCAGAAGAAGUCAGCGAAGGAGAUGAUGUGUUCCUCCUUGCCCUGCCCUUUGCCUCUGAUUGAGACUUUCCUUCGAGUGGAGCAAGAGAAGACCCAGAGUUAGAUGGACUGAAAAUGAAUUGGAAUUCAAGGCCUCGUCAAAGGAUCACUUCAAAGGCUUUACCUCCAGCUCUGAAACUGAGACUCUGACGUCAAUGGCCUGGAAUAUUCUCAGAUCCAGUUAGCUCAGUUCCUUUGAAGUUUGAAGGCCGGAUAUGCCACCUGACCCGUUUGAAGAAGAAGCUCAGUGUCUUGCUGGAAGAGCUUUCCGCUGUGUUAUAAAAACAUUGCGAGCCUUCCACUGUGUUGCAGAAACAGCGCGAGAUAAUGUGUGUAUUUAGUAGUGCUACAAGACUGUACAUACACUAGCAAUUAUUGCAGCUCAAGUUGAUCAGUCAAAGAUCUACAAGAUGAUGCCCGAAUCGCUUACUAUCUCAAAAAUUUGGCUGUGAUCUGCUUCUGUCAAGUGGUACUGUAUGUACUAGGUGUGGCUUAUAUACAAAUGUGAUCUCGUGUGUGACUGUGAACGAAGAAACACUUGCAGUGGCCCAGCUCUACCAAGCUUCCUAAGCUAGUAUUGCUGGAUCACAGAUGCGUGUGAUUCUCAGGUGGUGGAGCAGUCAACCAAACGUACGUGUCACAAGAAACAGUCUGAUGUUGGGUUUCCACCAUGGCAGAGCCAGACACCACACUCGUUACAUCUGUCAGUCCUCUUGUUGGAGUCCUUCCAGCAGAACGCACACCAUCCCCGUUUACAUCUCUUUGUAGGUGGUUGCAGGCACAUGUUUUGACAACAUACUCACCAAGUCCAACCUGUCUCUUCUUUUGCUUCCCCGUGUAUAUGUCAAAUUUGUGGAAAUAGCCGUUAGCACUAUCUGCCAAUACCCAUACCUUGAUCCCCCGUUUGAUCAGUUUCAUAGGCAUAUAUUGCUUUAAGGAAGACUGCCCCUGAAACUUAAUCAUUGCUUCGUCCACUGCUACAUUCUGUGUAGGGUUGUACAAAGCUUCGAACCUCUCACCCAGGUGCUCAAUGAGGGGGGGGAUCUUCCCUAACCGAUCGUACGAGGGAUCACCUCGUGGAACAAGAUGGUCGUUGUCCACGAAGUGCAGAUACCGGGAGAUAUCACGGAAUCUCUGCCUUGAGAUUACAUCGGCGAUGGGUGCAUAGUGGUCUCGGCUCCAAUAGUCAUUGAUCGAUGGCAGGUGAUUGAGUCCCAUGAGGAUGGAGAAUCCGAAGAAGGCCCAGAGCUCUUAAACUGUGUGUUGAGUCCACGUUCGGUAUGCCUCCUCUCCCAUUACAUGUCUAGCGUAGUUGUUGCUCUCACACACAAUGUGUUCCUGCAGAUCAUUGUUAAAAAAUAGCAGAAACACUUCUUCUGGCCUCUCUGAGAUGUCCACUGUUGGUCCUACUACUGACUCAAAUGACUUGAUAGUCAGGGUGUGCAAUUCACUCCUCCAGGUAGGUUGCUCAUUGCCUAAAUAAAUGUGAGGGUAAUAAUAAUUAGCUGUACAUUAGUUUUGUGUGGUAGUCUAACUGAUUGUAAUUGUACUUCAUAACAUUGCACAAACCGUGUGACGAGUUGCUUGGACCACUUGUGUCGUCACUUGUGUCGUCUAGGAAAGGAUUUAUCAAUAGCUGGUACAAAUUGUUAACCUUAUAAUUAUUAAUUUAAUUUACCUU